CACUAAUAAUAUAUUUAUCUUCCAAUUUCCAUUUCUAGAAUUCUAUGAUUGUUAAGAACUUGUAAAAUAUAUUCUAAUAUAGUUAAUGCUUUAUAUUUUUAUAUUUAAAGCAUACAACUCCUCUUUAUUUUGAUGUCUUUCCCAGAUCAGCUUUCUCUUUCUUGCAAUACUUAGCCAAUCCAAACUUAUACUACAAAAUAGCAAUCAACAAAAACAAUUUAUGUCUCACUGGUAAAUAAAUUGUUUCAAAUGAGUGUAAUGGUGUGGUCAUGUUUCAACAAUGUUUAAAAUUUUCUUUUACUUUUCUUUCAAAGCCUAGCUUGUUAAUACUAUAGCUACAUUACGUGGAAAAGAACAAGUCAUGUUAAGCUCUUUUGUAUUGGGAAACCCAGCUUGAGCUGAAUCUUAAAAUUGUAUACCUUCAAAAUAGGCAGACAAGAAGUGACAAAUUGCUAUUAAAGAAAGAACCAGCCCAGGCAAACUUAAAAACAGGAAUACGGAAGGUAUAUCAUGGGGUAGUCAGAAGUCUGGCCUUGCUGAAAAGUAUAUAUAAACGUUAGAAACUACUUUGAAGUGCAUUUUAGCUAACACGACUUGACACUAAUGAAAGAUCUGGAAAACUUAUCUGAGCUUGCACUUGAUAUGGUAAAAACUAAAUAAAAUUAAAAUGAUGAGCUAUAAAAUUCUUAAAGGAACCAUAGAAUGCCUAGUAAAAUAUAGCAAAGGCUUUAAAGACUUAACAAACAAGUUUUAAGUCUUGGUAAACCCCCUACAGUUUUUUAUGAUUUGAAAAUGAAGACACUCAUACCUCUCACCACAUAUAUAAUGAGCUAUAUCUGAUAAACUAAUCAGAAAACAGUAUUUUCUCCCACUACUACAAUCAACACAGUGUUGUAACAAUAUCAGUAAUCUUUAACUGUCUUUGCACCUUCAUGACAUCACAAUCAAUUUAUUUAUUUUUUUGAGACGGAGUUUCUCUCAUUUCCCAGGCUGGAGUGCAAUGGCACGAUCUCGGCUCACUGCCACCUCUGCCUCCUAGGUUCAAGCGAUUCUCCUCCAUCAGCCUCCAGAGUAGCUGGAUUACAGGCAUGUGCCACCACACUCAGCUAAUUUUGUAUUUUUAGUAGAGACGGGGUUUCUCCAUGUUGAUCAGGUUGGUCUCAAAACUCCCGAUCUCAGGUGUUCUGCCUGCCUCGGUCUCCCAAUGUGCUGGUGUGUCCGGAAUUGGUGGGUUCUUGGUUUCACUGACUUCAAGAAUGAAGCCACGCACCUUUGCAGUUAGGAUUACAGUUCUUAAAGAUGGUGUGUCCAGAAUUUGUUCUUUCAGAUGUUCAGAUGGGUCUGGAGUUUCUUCCUUAAGGUGGGUUCCUGGUCUCACUGGCUUCAGCAGUAAAACUGCAGACCUUUGCAGUAAGUGUUAUAGCUCAUAAACGCAGUGCAGACCCAAACACUGAGCAGUCUUAAAAUUCACUGUGAUGAGCAAAAUAAAAAACACUGAACACCCCCAAGGCAGACCUGAAUUGGUUGCGGCUCCUGGCUCCGGUGGCCUGCUUUUAUUCCCUUAUCUGGCCCCACCCACAUCCUGCUGAUUGGUCCAUUUUACAGAGAGCUGAUUGGUCCAUUUUGGAGAGAGCAGAUUGGUCCGUUUUGACAGAGAGCUGAUUGGUGCAUUUACAAACAUUUAGCUAGACACAGACUGCUGAUUGGUGCAUUUACAAUCCUUUAACUAGACACAAAAGUUAUGCAAGUCCCCACUCCACCCCUCCCAGAAGUCCAGCCAGCUUCACCUCCCAUUGGCAUUUGCCCCUGGACUUUGCACCUAGCCAGGGCAGUCCCACCGCCAGGGGCUUGGCAAGUCCGUGCCCACCAGGAACCCUCGCCGGCCCAGGAGCGCCCGUGCCUCCCUGUCCACACCUCACAGCCAGCAGAGGGAGCUGGUUCCGGCCUCGGCCGGCCCCAGAGAGGGGCCCCACAGCGCUGUGGCGGGCAGAAGAGCUAUUUGAGCAGGGCCAGAGAGGACGCUGAGGCCAAGGAGGCACUGAGAGGGAGCCAGGGCUGCUAACACAUUGUCACCUCUCACUGGGAUUACAGUGGUGGCAAAAUUAAUAUAUCUACCUUCUCACGUGUGCACAUAUGAUGGUCAUAUAAAAGAAAUCUAGUCAAAAAAGAAAAGAAGUUCUGCAACAACAGAAAAUGUGUGACAAAAAUGCCAGAAUUAUUAUAGUCUCCCUUUAGUUCCUGAAUAUCAUUAAGAAAAGAAAAUUAAUCUGCUACUCUUAGAAGAGUUCCAGGGCUAUGAAUAACUAUUCUAUGAAAAAAUAAUAUCACAGUGAAUUUACUUCAUUUCCCUAAAACAUCUAAGUAUAUAGUAAAAAGAGAGAGUAUUCCCUCCAGACAAAGGCUUUCAAGCAACCACAGGAGAAAAUGCCCUGUUUAAAACAAUUAUGGUAGGAAACACCAACAGGAAGUCCCUAGAAAAUACUCCCCACCAUGCUCAACAUCAUAAAGCUGAAGCAAUACCACAACCUAGGUAGAAUUGCAGAAAUUAGCUCCAGCAUAAAAAAAUUUGAAGACCACAUUAGUGGCUUACCUAUAUUCAAUUUACUUUUCUCUGCAAAAAUGGAUGGCUUAUACAAGAUGGCAAUGGACUACUAUCCAUGGAAUCUGAGGUCAACCUCAAUGGUAGCUAUUUAAGCUGAACUUGGUAUCUUUACUGAAACAGACCAAUAUAACCACUGUUGAAAAAAAAAAUUCAAUCACCAUCAAUGAAGAGGAUCAAAGAUGCUUGCAAUUAUAUGAGAAGGACUAUAGUGUGGGUUUACAUUUCUGACAGGUGCCUAGUCUAACUCUUUUGUUCCAUGUCACUGUAUAAUCCCUAGAAACUGAUUAUUUUCAUGUUUUACAGGACAUCCUUUAG
rnacentral:lncRNA from 1 species